rnacentral:rRNA from 1 species
CCUACGGGUGGCAGCAGUAGGGAAUCUUUCACAAUGGGCGAAAGCCUGAUGGAGCAACGCCGCGUGCAGGAUGAAGGCCUUCGGGUUGUAAACUGCUUUUAUAAGCGAGAAAUAUGAGGGUAACUUAUGAAUAAGGAUCGGCUAACUACGUGCCAGCAGCCGCGGUCAUACGUAGGAUCCGAGCAUUAUCCGGAGUGACUGGGGGUAAAGAGUUGCGUAGGUGGCAUAAUAAGUAGCUAGUGAAAUCUGGUGGCUCAACCAUUCAGACUAUUAGCUAAACUGUUAAGCUCGAGACCGUUAGGGGUAACUGGAAUUUCUAGUGUAGGAGUGAAAUCCGUAGAUAUUAGAAGGAACACCAAUAGCGUAGGCAGGUUGCUGGGACGGUUCUGACACUAAGGCACGAAAGCGUAGGGAGCAAACGGGAUUAGAUACCCGUGUAGUC